UUACGGUCAUAUCACGUUGAAACACCGGUUCCCGUACGAUCACCGAAGUUAAGCAACGUUGAUCUGUACCAAAAUGAGUAACCGCUUGGAAAUACCAGGUGCUGUGUG